AAAUAAAAGAACCGAAAAAGAGAGAGAAUAAGAAAAUAAUAGAGAGAAACCACAUCCUCCAUUGACCUAUUAUUCUAGAGGGACUUGCACGGUGGAUUUGCGAUCGCGCUCGUUUGUAGUUCGAUCCACCGCGAGUUUGGAGCGUGAGAAGACAUUCAAGGACGAUCCGAGGACACGUGAAUCAAUCUAAACGAUCCGGGCUCAUCGCGUUGUUGCGCGAAUCGCUUCCGCAAAAAGGUACGAACCGAAAACUUCCGCUGCGUUCUAU
rnacentral:lncRNA from 1 species